AACAAACGCUGGCGGCGUGUCUUAAGCAUGCAAGUUGAGCGGCAAGGAGGAGAGAUCCUCCCUAGAGCGGCGGACUGGUGAGUAACGCGUGGGUAAUCUAUCGUAGGCAUGGGGAUAGUCACUAGAAAUAGUGGGUAGUACCGAAUACGUUCCAUGAGGGGAGUAUUCAUGGAAGAAAGGGUGCUACGGCACUGGCCUUAGGUGAGCUCGCGUCCCAUUAGCUAGUUGGUGAGGUAAAGGCCCACCAAGGCGAUGAUGGGUAGCCGGCCUGAGAGGGUGUACGGCCACACUGGGACUGAGAUACGGCCCAGACUCCUACGGGAGGCAGCAGCUAAGAAUAUUCCGCAAUGGGCGCAAGCCUGACGGAGCGACGCCGCGUGGAGGAUGAAGUCCUUCGGGAUGUAAACUCCAACUAGUUGUCCAGGAAGCAACCUGGCCUAACUACGUCGGGAAGUUGACCAGCAGACGAAAGGGACGGGCGUAACUCCGUCGCCAGCCAGCCGAC
rnacentral:rRNA from 1 species